rnacentral:rRNA from 1 species
GUCGAGCGGAAGGCCCUUCGGGGUACUCGAGCGGCGAACGGGUGAGUAACACGUGAGUAACCUGCCCCCGACUCUGGGAUAAGCCCGGGAAACUGGGUCUAAUACCGGAUACGACCACUUCAGGCAUCUGAUGGUGGUGGAAAGAUUUCUUGGUUGGGGAUGGACUCGCGGCCUAUCAGCUUGUUGGUGGGGUAGUGGCCUACCAAGGCGACGACGGGUAGCCGGCCUGAGAGGGCGACCGGCCACACUGGGACUGAGACACGGCCCAGACUCCUACGGGAGGCAGCAGUGGGGAAUAUUGCGCAAUGGGCGGAAGCCUGACGCAGCGACGCCGCGUGGGGGAUGACGGCCUUCGGGUUGUAAACCUCUUUCAGCAGGGACGAAGUUGACGUGUACCUGCAGAAGAAGCGCCGGCUAACUACGUGCCAGCAGCCGCGGUAAUACGUAGGGCGCAAGCGUUGUCCGGAAUUAUUGGGCGUAAAGAGCUCGUAGGUGGCUGGUCGCGUCUGCCGUGAAAGCCCGCAGCUUAACUGCGGGUCUGCGGUGGAUACGGGCCGGCUAGAGGUAGGCAGGGGCAAGUGGAAUUCCUGGUGUAGCGGUGAAAUGCGCAGAUAUCAGGAGGAACACCGGUGGCGAAGGCGGCUUGCUGGGCCUUACCUGACGCUGAGGAGCGAAAGCGUGGGGAGCGAACAGGAUUAGAUACCCUGGUAGUCCACGCCGUAAACGUUGGGCGCUAGGUGUGGGACCCUUCCACGGGUUCCGUGCCGGAGCUAACGCAUUA